UGGGGAAUAUUGGACAAUGGGGGCAACCCUGAUCCAGCAAUGCCGCGUGUGUGAAGAAGGCCUGCGGGUUGUAAAGCACUUUUGGCAGGGAUGAAAAGCACUGGAUUAAUAACCCAGUGUGUUGACCUAACCUGCAGAAGAAGCACCGGCUAACUCUGUGCCAGCAGCCGCGGUAAUACAGGGGGCGCGAGCGUUAAUCGGAAUUACUGGGCGUAAAGCGCAAGUAGGUGGUGAGAUAAGUCUUGUGUGAAAUACUCGGGCUCAACCCGAGAGGGUCAUAGGAAACUGUCUCGCUAGAGUGCAAUAGGGGAGAGCGGAAUUCCCAGUGUAGUAGUGAAAUACGUAGAUAUUGGGAGGAACACCGGUGGCGAAAGCGGCUCUCUGGAUUGUUACUGACACUCAGUUGCGAAAGCGUGGGGAUCAAACAGGAUUAGAUACCCCGGUAGUCCCUGAGCGGGCUGGCAAGGCG
rnacentral:rRNA from 1 species